GGCUCGGUAGCGUAACGGUCAACGCGCCUACACAUUAUGGGACAAGGUGCGUGCUCCAUUACCGUUAACGUAGGAGAUCCCAGUUCGACUCUAGGCCGAGCUG